rnacentral:rRNA from 1 species
UACGAAGGGGGCGAGCGUUGUUCGGAUUUACUGGGCGUAAAGAGCGUGUAGGCGGUUGGGUAGGUCCGUUGUGAAAACUCGAGGCUCAACCUCGAGACGCCGAUGGAAACCCCCCAGCUAGAGUCCGGAAGAGGAGAGUGGAAUUCCUGGUGUAGCGGUGAAAUGCGCAGAUAUCAGGAAGAACACCCGUGGCUAAGGCGGCUCUCUAGUACGGUACUGACGCUGAGACGCGAAAGCGUGGGGAGCGAACAGG